rnacentral:piRNA from 1 species
UGCUGAGAAUGUCUAGGGAAAGGUCC